UGACCCUGCCACAACCCUUCUAAGAUCCGCCUAUGCGUGGGUGGUGCAUGCGUUAUGUGGGGGAGGCACAUAUCAGAACUAUAAAAAAGUGUUGAGAUCUAGAGGAUCGUGUCCGUCAAGCAUUGGUGCUGACCAACCUGCUGAUGUGGAUGCGGAUCUCGAAGACCAUCUGCUUUUCUUGUCAUGGGUCUCAUCAGCAUACAAGGAGAGAAUGAGACUUUGCCCUUGUGCUUAGAAGUUUAUUUGGCUAGCAACUUAAUGGAUGUUGAUUAAAUUGAGUUGUGAGCCUAAGGUACUGAAGCUGGAUAACUGAGGGGCUUAAGGUGUAUACUAUGAUAAGAUAAGGACGCAAUGUGAUAAAGAUUGAAAGAUAAUGAGUGUAUAUUCCAAAUCAUUGUCUUCGUUGUCCAAGUUCAUCUCUACCGUUGUCUAUAUUUCUCUUUCUAGUUUAAUAUGUUUGAAAAGGGAAUUGAGAUCUUAGGACUUUUU
rnacentral:lncRNA from 1 species